rnacentral:rRNA from 1 species
CGCCCGGGCUUCGGCCUGGUUAUUCAUAACCCUUUGUUGUCCGACUCUGUUGCCUCCGGGGCGACCCUGCCUUCGGGCGGGGGCUCCGGGUGGACACUUCAAACUCUUGCGUAACUUUGCAGUCUGAGUAAACUUAAUUAAUAAAUUAAAACUUUUAACAACGGAUCUCUUGGCUCUGGCAUCGAUGAAGAACGCAGCGAAAUGCGAUAAGUAAUGUGAAUUGCAGAAUUCAGUGAAUCAUCGAAUCUUUGAACGCACAUUGCGCCCCCUGGUAUUCCGGGGGGCAUGCCUGUUCGAGCGUCAUUUCACCACUCAAGCCUCGCUUGGUAUUGGGCAACGCGGUCCGCCGCGUGCCUCAAAUCGUCCGGCUGGGUCUUCUGUCCCCUAAGCGUUGUGGAAACUAUUCGCUAAAGGGUGUUCGGGAGGCUACGCCGUAAAACAACCCCAUUUCUAAGGUUGACCUCGGAUCACGUAGGGAUACCCGCUGAACUU